UUGGAGGGCAAGUCUGGUGCCAGCAGCCGCGGUAAUUCCAGCUCCAAUAGCGUAUAUUAAAGUUGUUGCAGUUAAAAAGCUCGUAGUUGAAUUUCGGGAUCAAUUUGCUGGUCGUGCUUCUGGUACGUACUGGUAUUAUUGGUUUCUCCCUUCUGACGAACCAUGAUGUCAUUAAUUUGAUGUCGUGGAGAAUCAGGACUGUUACUUUGAAAAAAUUAGAGUGUUUAAAGCAGGCAUUAGCUUGAAUACAUUAGCAUGGAAUAAUGAAAUAGGACGUUUGAUCCUAUUUUGUUGGUUUCUAGGAUUGACGUAAUGAUUAAUAGGGAUAGUUGGGGGCAUUAGUAUUCAAUUGUCAGAGGUGAAAUUCUUGGAUUUAUUGAAGACUAACUACUGCGAAAGCAUUUGCCAAGGAUGUUUUCAUUAAUCAAGAACGAAAGUUAGGGGAUCGAAGACGAUCAGAUACCGUCGUAGUCUUAACCAUAAACUAUGCCGACUAGGGAUCGGAUGAUGUUAAUUUUUUAAUGACUCAUUCGGCGCCUUACGGGAAACCAAAGUGUUUGGGUUC
rnacentral:rRNA from 1 species